rnacentral:rRNA from 1 species
GACGAACGCUGGCGGCGCGCCUAACACAUGCAAGUCGAGCGGAGUUUGAGAGAGCUUGCUUUUCAAACUUAGUGGCGAACGGGUGAGUAACGCGUGAGUAACCUGCCCUGGAGUGGGGGACAACAGUUGGAAACGACUGCUAAUACCGCAUAAGCCCACGGCCCGGCAUCGGGUUGAGGGAAAAGGAUUUAUUCGCUUCAGGAUGGACUCGCGUCCAAUUAGCUAGUUGGCAGGGUGAUAGCCUACCAAGGCGACGAUCGGUAGCCGACCUGAGAGGGUGAUCGGCCACAUUGGAACUGAGAUACGGUCCAA